rnacentral:lncRNA from 1 species
GCACAAUCUGAUGCAAAAAAUAGAAAUCUGGGCCCACCGUCAACCGCGACGGCACCCGACAGUCCGAAACAGACUACACACAACUGUAAAAUAAGCUCGGCAUCCCAGCACGACCGUAAAUUCAUCCUACACUAAUCUGAGUAUCCACCGCGUACAAACUGCGGCGAUACAAACAAACUACAGCUCUUAAAACUAAAUCUGAUAGUUUUCAGAAAGUGACAGUGUAGAAUCUAACAGUUUUCUCCUAAGUCAAUUCCAAGUCCAACAUAUAAAUUAAACUACUAGCUUAACUCCAAAUUCAGAUUUAAUCACUAAUCCAUGAAUUCGAGUACUAGCAAGAAACUACACAAUUAAUACAUGUCGACGAUACUAAAAUUUAGAAGAUAUUCUGACGAUUUCGGUAAACUUCAACCCACCUCUAAAAGCUAGUCCAACCACGGUAGAAAGUCGAGAGAAGGAAAACCCCGCGCUCGCCCGGCCUCCAAACAAUGCAACCGCCACGCUCGCGCUUUCGAACGGCUCCCCGGCGCAACGUCAACGUCGAUCCG